GGAUCAAAUUGUUGGUCGUGCUUCGGUACGCACUGGAAUUAUUGGUUCCUACCCUCUGAAGAACCGCGAUGUCAUUAAUUUGGUGUCGUGGGGAAUCAGGACUGUUACUUUGAAAAAUUAGAGUGUUUAAAGCAGGCGCACGCUUGAAUACAUAGCAUGGAAUAAUGAAAUAGGACGUUUGAUUCUAUUUUGUUGGUUUCUAGGAUUGACGUAAUGAUUAAUAGG
rnacentral:rRNA from 1 species